GGAUAUUGUUUCUAGGGUUCCGAUUCCUGGUGAUGUGGGGAAUGGCUGGUCCGAGAGAAACAGGCUAGGCUUUGUAAAGAUUUUUGCCACUAGCUACACGGCGGGACAAAAGCCCGGGAGAC
rnacentral:sRNA from 19 species